rnacentral:rRNA from 1 species
GAUGAACGCUAGCUACAGGCUUAACACAUGCAAGUCGAGGGGUAACGAGAGGAAAGCUUGCUUUCCUUGUCGACGACCGGCGCACGGGUGAGUAACGCGUAUCCAACCUGCCCCCAACUAAGGAAUAACCUUGCGAAAGUAAGACUAAUACCUUAUAAUUUCCUCAGAUGUCAUCUGACGAGGAAUAAAGAUUUAUCGGUUGUGGAUGGGGAUGCGUCUGAUUAGCUUGUUGUCGGGGUAACGGCCCACCAAGGCAACGAUCAGUAGGGGUUCUGGGAGGAAGGUACCCCACAAUGGAACUGAGACACGGUCCAAACUCAAACGGGAGGAAACAGUGAGGAAUAUUGGUCAAUGGGCGAAAGCCUGAACCAGCCAAGUAGCGUGCAGGAUGACGGCCCUAUGGGUUGUAAACUGCUUUUAUACAGGAAUAAAGUUAGCCACGUGUGGUUAUUUGUAGGUACUGUAUGAAUAGGGACCGGCUAAUUCCGUGCCAGCCGCCGCCGUAA